UGUCAUUAACACUAGGUUUACGGGACCCGCCAAUUUGACGGAUUUCGAACUUCGAAAUGAAAUAUCUCAAAAACCAUAGCAUUAAUUUUAACCAUUUUGCAUCUUAAAUUAAUCAUUUCAUCUAAAGAAUUUAUGCACAAAAUUAUUUUUUUCUAGGCUUUCUAAUUUUUGAAAUCUGUAUGUAGUAUAUCUAUCUCUACGAGACCCCACCCGUAAAAUUGACGGGCUAGCUGAUUUCAUAAACAAUCCGUUUUUCAAAGACAGUGUGCAAAAGUUUCAGUUAUUGUAGACAUUUCCCAUUAUUCUCUCCGCUUAUUCAAUCAUGAGCAAAUCCAGGAGACAUAAUAAGAUAUUGAACAAAAUUGUCAACAUCAAUGAAGAUUUUUCUGAGGAUACCUCCGAAGAAGAUCAGUAUGA